rnacentral:rRNA from 1 species
UAAGGAAUAUUGGUCAAUGGGCGCAAGCCUGAACCAGCCAUGCCGCGUGCAGGAAGACGGCCCUACGGGUUGUAAACUGCUUUUGUACCGGAAUAAACCUUUCUUCGUGAAGAGAGCUGAAUGUACGGUAAGAAUAAGGAUCGGCUAACUCCGUGCCAGCAGCCGCGGUAAUACGGAGGAUCCAAGCGUUAUCCGGAUUUAUUGGGUUUAAAGGGUGCGUAGGUGGCCUGGUAAGUCAGGGGUGAAAGACGGCAGCUUAACUGUCGCAGUGCCUUUGAUACUGCCGGGCUUGAAUACAGUUGAAGUAGGCGGAAUGUGACAAGUAGCGGUGAAAUGCAUAGAUAUGUCACAGAACACCGAUUGCGAAGGCAGCUUACUAAAGUGUGAUUGACACUGAGGCACGAAAGCGUGGGGAUCAAACA